GACGAACGUUGGCGGCGUGCUUAACACAUGCAAGUCGAACGGAAAGGCCCUGCUUUUGUGGGGUGCUCGAGUGGCGAACGGGUGAGUAACACGUGAGUAACCUGCCCUUGACUUUGGGAUAACUUCAGGAAACUGGGGCUAAUACCGGAUAGGAGCUCCUGCUGCAUGGUGGGGGUUGGAAAGUUUCGGCGGUUGGGGAUGGACUCGCGGCUUAUCAGCUUGUUGGUGGGGUAGUGGCUUACCAAGGCUUUGACGGGUAGCCGGCCUGAGAGGGUGACCGGCCACAUUGGGACUGAGAUACGGCCCAGACUCCUACGGGAGGCAGCAGUGGGGAAUAUUGCACAAUGGGCGGAAGCCUGAUGCAGCAACGCCGCGUGCGGGAUGACGGCCUUCGGGUUGUAAACCGCUUUCGCCUGUGACGAAGCGUGAGUGACGGUAAUGGGUAAAGAAGCACCGGCUAACUACGUGCCAGCAGCCGCGGUGAUACGUAGGGUGCGAGCGUUGUCCGGAUUUAUUGGGCGUAAAGGGCUCGUAGGUGGUUGAUCGCGUCGGAAGUGUAAUCUUGGGGCUUAACCCUGAGCGUGCUUUCGAUACGGGUUGACUUGAGGAAGGUAGGGGAGAAUGGAAUUCCUGGUGGAGCGGUGGAAUGCGCAGAUAUCAGGAGGAACACCAGUGGCGAAGGCGGUUCUCUGGGCCUUUCCUGACGCUGAGGAGCGAAAGCGUGGGGAGCGAACAGGCCUAGAUACCCUGGUAGUCCACGCUGUAAACGGUGGGUACUAGGUGUGGGGUCCAUUCCACGGGUUCCGUGCCGUAGCUAACGCUUUAAGUACCCCGCCUGGGGAGUACGGCCGCAAGGCUAAAACUCAAAGGAAUUGACGGGGCCCCGCACAAGCGGCGGAGCAUGCGGAUUAAUUCGAUGCAACGCGUAGAACCUUACCUGGGUUUGACAUGGAUCGGGAGUGCUCAGAGAUGGGUGUGCCUCUUUUGGGGUCGGUUCACAGGUGGUGCAUGGCUGUCGUCAGCUCGUGUCGUGAGAUGUUGGGUUAAGUCCCGCAACGAGCGCAACCCUUGUUCACUGUUGCCAGCACGUUAUGGUGGGGACUCAGUGGAGACCGCCGGGGUCAACUCGGAGGAAGGUGGGGAUGACGUCAAGUCAUCAUGCCCCUUAUGUCCAGGGCUUCACGCAUGCUACAAUGGCUGGUACAGAGAGUGGCGAGCCUGUGAGGGUGAGCGAAUCUCGGAAAGCCGGUCUCAGUUCGGAUUGGGGUCUGCAACUCGACCUCAUGAAGUCGGAGUCGCUAGUAAUCGCAGAUCAGCAACGCUGCGGUGAAUACGUUCCCGGG
rnacentral:rRNA from 1 species